rnacentral:rRNA from 1 species
CAGUAGCCACGGGAAUACAGAGGGUGCAAGCGUUAAUCGGAAUUACUGGGCGUAAAGCGCGCGUAGGUGGUUCGCCAAGUUGGAUGUGAAAUCCCCGGGCUCAACCUGGGAACUGCAUCCAAAACUGGCGAGCUAGAGUAUGGUAGAGGGUGGUGGAAUUUCCUGUGUAGCGGUGAAAUGCGUAGAUAUAGGAAGGAACAUCAGUGGCGAAGGCGACCACCUGGACUGAUACUGACACUGAGGUGCGAAAGCGUGGGGAGCAAACAGGAUUAGAUACCCGUGUAGUCCCUGUCUCUUAUAU